GCGCCUGUAGCUCAGUGGAUAGAGCGACGGACUCCGGAUCCGUAGGUCGCAGGUUCGACCCCUGUCAGGCGCGCCA
rnacentral:tRNA from 1 species